ensembl:snRNA U6 U6 spliceosomal RNA
GUUCUCACUUCUGCAGCACAAAUAAUAAAAUUGGAACAAUACAGAGAAGAUUAGCAUGGCUCCUGCGGAAUGAUGACACACAAAUUUGUGAAGCAGUCCAUAUUUAA